rnacentral:rRNA from 1 species
CAGUCGCCGCGGGAAAACCGAGGGGGGCAAGCGUUGUUCGGAAUUAUUGGGCGUAAAGGGUGCGUAGGCGGCUUGACAAGUCUUGUGUGAAAUCUAUGGGCUCAACCCAUAGUCUGCACGGGAAACUGUCGGACUUGAGAAUGGGAGAGGUGAGUGGAAUUUCCGGUGUAGCGGUGAAAUGCGUAGAUAUCGGAAGGAACACCUGUGGCGAAAGCGGCUCACUGGACCAUUUCUGACGCUGAUGCACGAAAGCUAGGGGAACAAACAGGAUUAGAUACCCCCGUAGUCCCUGUCUCUUAUU